UUGAACGCUGGCGGCAUGCUUACACAUGCAAGUCGAACGGUAACAGGUCUUCGGAUGCUGACGAGUGGCGAACGGGUGAGUAAUGCAUCGGAACGUGCCCAGUCGUGGGGGAUAACGCAGCGAAAGCUGUGCUAAUACCGCAUACGAUCUAUGGAUGAAAGCGGGGGAUCGCAAGACCUCGCGCGAUUGGAGCGGCCGAUGUCAGAUUAGCUAGUUGGUGGGGUAAAGGCCCACCAAGGCGACGAUCUGUAGCUGGUCUGAGAGGACGACCAGCCACACUGGGACUGAGACACGGCCCAGACUCCUACGGGAGGCAGCAGUGGGGAAUUUUGGACAAUGGGCGCAAGCCUGAUCCAGCAAUGCCGCGUGCAGGAAGAAGGCCUUCGGGUUGUAAACUGCUUUUGUACGGAACGAAAAGGUCUGGGUUAAUACCCUGGGCUCAUGACGGUACCGUAAGAAUAAGCACCGGCUAACUACGUG
rnacentral:rRNA from 1 species